CGGAAUGAGUAGCGAGAGGAAGGUGGGAAUCCUUCCGGCCGAAUAUCUAAGGUUUCCAGAGUAAAGCUGAUCUGCUCUGGGUAAGUCGGGGCCUAAGGAGAGGUCGAAAGACGUAUCCGAUGGACAACAGGUUUAGAUUCCUGUACCACAUAUAAACAGAACUGUGGGGACGCAUGUGGAAAGCAUAAGCCGGGAAUGGAAAUACCGGUACAAACGGAAGAGGUGUCAGGCUGGCAAAUCCGCCUGAUAAGCCAAAGACGUGAUGUGGAGCGAAAUAAAAGUAGCGAAGUAUGUGAGCCAUGUGCCGAGAAAAGCUGCUAUCGUUUUAUAUGUGCCCGUACCGUAAACCGACACAGGUGGAUGAGGAGAGAAUCCUAAGGCCGACGGAAGAAGCAUUGUUAAGGAACUCGGCAAAAUGACCCCGUAACUUCGGGAGAAGGGGUGCCCACUUCAGGGUGGGCCGCAGAGAAUAGGCUCAAGCAACUGAUUAGCAAAAACACAGGUCUAUGCGAAACCGUAAGGUGAAGUAUAUGGGCUGACGCCUGCCCGGUGCUGGAAGGUUAAGAGGAGAGGUUAGUCGCAAGAUGAAGCUUUGAAUUUAAGCCCCAGUAAACGGCGGCCGUAACUAUAACGGUCCUAAGGUAGCGAAAUUCCUUGUCGGGUAAGUUCCGACCCGCACGAAAGGCGUAAUGAUUUGAGCACUGUCUCGACAAUGCAUCCGGUGAAAUUGAAGUACCAGUGAAGAUGCUGGUUACCCGCGCCAGGACGGAAAGACCCCAUGGAGCUUUACUCCAGUUUGGUACUGGGAUUCGGUACUGCAUGUACAGGAUAGGUGGGAGACUGAGAAAUUGGAACGCCAGUUUCAAUGGAGUCACUGUUGGGAUACCACCCCUGCAGUAUUGGGUUUCUAACCAGCCGCUGUGAUCCAGCGGUGGGACAAUGCCAGGCGGGGAGUUUGACUGGGGCGGUCGCCUCCGAAAGGGUAUCGGAGGCGCUCAAAGGUUCCCUCAGAAUGGUCGGAAACCAUUUUAAGAGUGCAAAGGCAGAAGGGAGCUUGACUGCGACACCGACGGGUGGAGCAGGUACGAAAGUAGGACUUAGUGAUCCGGUGGCAUAAAGUGGGAUUGCCAUCGCUCAACGGAUAAAAGCUACCCUGGGAUAACAGGCUUAUCACUCCCAAGAGUUCACAUCGACGGAGUGGUUUGGCACCUCGAUGUCGGCUCAUCGCAUCCUGGGGCUGUAGCAGGUCCCAAGGGUUGGGCUGUUCGCCAUUAAAGCGGUACGCGAGCUGGGUUCAGAACGUCGUGAGACAGUUCGGUCCCUAUCCGGCGCGGGCGGAGGAUAUUUGAGAGGAGCUGUCCUUAGUACGAGAGGACCGGGAUGGACGGACCACUGGUGUAUCUGCUGUCGACCAACGGCAUGGCAGAGUAGCCAAGUCCGGAAGGGAUAAACGCUGAAGGCAUCUAAGCGUGAAGCCCCCCUCAAGAUGAGAUAUCCCUCACAUAAGUGAGUAAGAUCCCUUGAAGAGUACAAGGUAGAUAGGGCAGAGGUGGAAGCAUGGUAACAUGUGGAGCUGACUGUUACUAAUCGAUCGAGGGCUUGACCU
rnacentral:rRNA from 1 species